CAGAGAGAUUGAAACAAUUCACUACUGCCUUUCCUCCAGCUUCUCCUGGGCAUGCUACAUACACUGUGGGAAGGCGGAAGACUGACCUAGAACACCUUCAAGUGGAUGCUACACUUAAAAAUGAACUCCUGGAGGGUGAGACCAUGCAUGAAAACUGGCAGAAGACUCUAUCAUAAAGAGGAAGCCGUCAGGUUCUUGGAUAAUUGCUGAAUGGAACUAAGGGAAAUGAG
rnacentral:lncRNA from 1 species